AUGUAUUCUCGAAACAUUGAACGUCAAAUUCACGAGGUGGAUGAAAAGUUGGGUUUGUACAAGUCAAUGAUAAAUGAUGGCAUUAAGCUUGAUCUUGGACAUGCUCUUUCUCUUGAAAAGGUAAUGGCUAAUAAAGAAAUCAUCGAUAUCGCGAAAAGAAUAAAGGAUCCACAAAAGGCAGCUAAACAAACUAGCUACUAA